rnacentral:lncRNA from 1 species
UUCCAUCUCCGAGGAGGGCGUAACUCAAUCUACAUCAUGAAUAUUCGCACAUAAAAAUUGGUUUUGCGAAAUAGAAAAUCUAUUCCACGGCAUCCCGUGGAGACGGGAUAGUAAUCCGGAUCGAUCCCCUCCUCCUACCUCACUCUUCUCCCCUAAAUCAUUGGAGCCAACAGCCACCGUCGUCCCCGUCCCCGUCGCUGUCGCCCCACCGCUCGUCGGAGCCGGUGACCGCUGUCGUCCCCGUCGCCGUCGCCCCACCGCUCGUCGGAGCCGGCGGCCACCGCUGCGGGGGAGGCGGCGACGACGAGGAGAAUGGCGACAGGUGCGGUGAACAAGAGGGAGAGCGGGAGCGGGGGCGCGGAGGCCGCUGCCGGCGCCGGGGAAGCCGCCGCUGGCUCAGGACCCCGGUCGCCCUCAAGCUCGCCUCCCUUGCCGCGCCGCUCUGGCUCCCCGCCCUUGUCGGUCUUCUCAUCGGCUGCCCCGCCUCGCCGACCACUGGAUUCGCCACUGCCUCCUCCACGCUUCGCCUCGCCGAUCACCGGAUUCGCGCACCGCCUCCUUCUCCUGCUCCACCACGCGGCUGCCUCCUCCUCUCUCUCCUCCUGCUCCAGGCUACUGGUACCAGCGGGCAAGGACGACGGCGACCUUGGCGAGGAGCGCGAGGGAGGAGGGGAGAGGCCCCGGCGCCGGCAGCAACGAGAGCGCCAGUGGAAGAAGCAGCGCCACAUCGCGUGGAGGCGGCACCGCAGCGGGCGGAGGACGACGUCGUGGAGGUGCGGCGAGAUCACCCUCGACGCCGCCCCGACCUCGCCGACGCCGUGCCGUCGUCGUCCACGGCCGCCGGAGACGACGACGACCCCUUCCUCCCGGCCAGCUUCAUCUCCGCCUCUCGUUUUCUUCUCCUGUGAGAGAGAGAGAGAGUUUGUGGAGGGGAAAGGAAGGAGAUAAGGUAGUGGAG